CUAUGGAGUAGCAGAGACAGGAGGCAACAGGACUGGGUGUCAGAGGGUGUUAGGGUCUGUCCCAACGGAGGAGAGACAGGAGGCAACAGAACUGGGUGUCAGAGGGUGUUAGGGUCUGUCCCAACAGAGGAGAGACAGGAGGCAACAGGACUGGGUGUCAGAGGGUGUUAGGGUCUGUCCCAACGGAGGAGAGAUAGGAGGCAACAGGACUGGGUGUCAGAGGGUGUUAGGGUCUGUCCCAACAGAGGAGAGACAGGAGGCAACAGGACUGGGUGUUAGGGUCUGUUAGGGUCUGUCCCAACGGAGGAGAGACAGGAGGCAACAGGACUGGGUGUCAGAGGGUGUUAGGGUCUGUCCCAACAGAGGAGAGAUAGGAGGCAACAGGACUGGGUGUCAGAGGGUGUUAGGGUCUGUCCCAACAGAGGAGAGAUAGGAGGCAACAGGACUGGGUGUCAGAGGGUGUUAGGGUCUGUUAGGGUCUGUCCCAACAGAGGAGAGAUAGGAGGCAACAGGACUGGAUGUCAGAGGGUGUUAGGGUCUGUCCCAACAGAGCAGAGACAGGAGGCAACAGGACUGGGUGUCAGAGGGUGUUAGGGUCUGUCCCAACAGAGCAGAGACAGGAGGCAACAGGACUGGGUGUCAGAGGGUGUUAGGGUCUGUUAGGGUCUGUCCCAACAGAGGAGAGAUAGGAGGCAACAGGACUGGGUGUCAGAGGGUGUUAGGGUCUGUCCCAACAGAGGAGAGACAGGAGGCAACAGGACUGGGUGUCAGAGGGUGUUAGGGUCUGACAUGCAGGGAAACAUCCUCCAGUCCUCUCGUCCUCUUGUCCUCCAAUCUUCUAGUCCUCUUGUCCUCCAGUCCUCCAGUCUUCCUGUCCUCCAAUCUUCCAGUCCUCCGGUCAGUCUCUAGUCAGUCUCUAGUCAGUCCUCCAGUCAGUCCUCCGGUCAGUCCUCCAGUCAGUCCUCCAGUCAGUCCUGUAGUCAGUCCUCCAGUCAGUCCUCCAGUCAGUCCUCCAGUCAGUCCUGUAGUCAGUCCUCCGG
ensembl:lncRNA